GACGAACGCUGGCGGCAUGCCUAAUACAUGCAAGUCGAACGCGGCCAUCCGGUGCUUGCACUGGUGAAGCCGAGUGGCGAACGGGUGAGUAACACGUGAGAAACCUGCCCUGGAGUGGGGAAUAACUCGAAGAAAUUCGAGCUAAUACCGCAUACCUUCUCUUCACCGCAUGGUGAGUUGAAGAAAGAUUUAUCGCUCUAGGAGGGUCUCGCGGCCUAUCAGCUAGUUGGUGAGGUAAUGGCUCACCAAGGCAUCGACGGGUAGCUGGUCUGAGAGGACGAUCAGCCACACUGGGACUGAGACACGGCCCAGACUCCUACGGGAGGCAGCAGUAGGGAAUCUUGCGCAAUGGGCGAAAGCCUGACGCAGCAAUGCCGCGUGCGGGACGAAGGCCCUAGGGUCGUAAACCGCUUUCAGUAGGGACGAAAAUGACGGUACCUGCAGAAGAAGCUCCGGCCAACUACGUGCCAGCAGCCGCGGUAAAACG
rnacentral:rRNA from 1 species